AGAGUUUGAUCCUGGCUCAGGAUGAACGCUAGCGGCAGGCCUAACACAUGCAAGUCGAGGGGCAGCACGGGUAGCAAUACUUGGUGGCGACCGGCGCACGGGUGAGUAACGCGUAUGCAACCUACCUUUUACCGGGGGAUAGCUCAGUGAAAACUGGAUUAAUACCCCAUAACACAGGGAUACCGCAUGGUAAUAUUUGUUAAAGCUCCGGCGGUAAAAGAUGGGCAUGCGUGACAUUAGCUAGUUGGUGAGGUAACGGCUCACCAAGGCGACGAUGUCUAAGGGGUCUGAGAGGAUGAUCCCUCACACUGGUACUGAGACACGGACCAGACUCCUACGGGAGGCAGCAGUGAGGAAUAUUGGUCAAUGGGGGCAACCCUGAACCAGCCAUGCCGCGUGAAGGAAGAAGGUUCUAAGAAUUGUAAACUUCUUUUGUACGGGGGUAAUUUCAGAUACGUGUAUUUGAUUGAAAGUACUGUACGAAUAAGCAUCGGCUAACUCCGUGCCAGCAGCCGCGGUAAUACGGAGGAUGCGAGCGUUAUCCGGAUUUAUUGGGUUUAAAGGGUGCGUAGGCGGACUUAUAAGUCAGCGGUGAAAGACUGUCGCUCAACGAUAGCAUUGCCGUUGAUACUGUAGAUCUUGAGUACAUUUGAGGUGGGCGGAAUGUGUAGUGUAGCGGUGAAAUGCUUAGAUAUUACACAGAACACCAAUUGCGAAGGCAGCUCACUAAACUGUAACUGACGCUGAGGCACGAAAGCGUGGGGAUCAAACAGGAUUAGAUACCCUGGUAGUCCACGCCGUAAACUAUGAUCACUGGAUGUAUGGGAUAUACACUAUGCGUCUGAGUAAAAGCAUUAAGUGAUCCACCUGGGGAGUACGUCGGCAACGAUGAAACUCAAAGGAAUUGACGGGGGCCCGCACAAGCGGAGGAACAUGUGGUUUAAUUCGGAUGAUACGCGAGGAACCUUACCUGGGCUCGAACGCGGAGGGAAUGUAGGUGAAAGCUUACAGCUAGCAAUAGUCGUCUGCGAGGUGCUGCAUGGUUGUCGUCAGCUCGUGCCGUGAGGUGUCGGCUUAAGUGCCAUAACGAGCGCAACCCUUAUCAUUAGUUGCCAGCGGGUUAAGCCGGGGACUCUAAUGAAACUGCCAGCGUAAGCUGUGAGGAAGGCGGGGAUGACGUCAAAUCAGCACGGCCCUUACGUCCAGGGCUACACACGUGUUACAAUGGAUGGUACAGAGGGCAGCUACUGGGUGACCAGAUGCUAAUCUCCAAAGCCAUUCUCAGUUCGGAUCGAAGUCUGCAACUCGACUUCGUGAAGCUGGAUUCGCUAGUAAUCGCGCAUCAGCCACGGCGCGGUGAAUACGUUCCCGGGCCUUGUACACACCGCCCGUCAAGCCAUGGGAGCUGGGGGUACCUGAAAGUAUGCAACCGCAGGGACGUCCUAGGGUAAAACGGUGACUGGGGCUAAGUCGUAACAAGGUA
rnacentral:rRNA from 1 species